AGAACACUGCAUGCUCCAUAUUCCACUAUUGCCUUCUACAUCUUCCCUUAGCUUUGCAGUAUGUUUUAAACUUUCCUGAUUUUGUUUUUCAUGGUUUUAUCCCCCAUGAUGCAAACAAUUAAUGUUCUAGAACUUAGCUGCCUUAGCUUCCAAUCCUUAGCUUUAAGGAUUCAUGUCCACCUAAUUAACAACUUUUGGUAAAAACAAAGAAAAAAUCUCAGCUAACUGUGAAGGAACUGUCCUCUCUCUGUGUGCAGCUGCAGGGCAGGAGACACCAUUCUGCACCAUAAAAAAUGAGUUCAAAGAAUCCGACCUAAUAAGGCGUGGAACUAAAAACAUCGAUGAGUUAUCAAUCUUACUCUCCUGUCAACGUUAUGAUGCUGUAAUCAUACGGAGAGCAAAGUUGAGGACUACAUGAUUUCUUGACUUAUAAAGCUACAAUAAUCAGUGCAGUAUGGUAUGCUGUCAGGGUAGAAAAUAGAUCAACAGAACAGAAUAGAGUCCAGAAAUAGACCCACAUGUAUGUGGUCAAAGAUGCCAGAAAUGGGGUCUCACUGUUGCCCAGGCUGGAGUGCAGUGGCUACUCACAGACACAAUCCCACUACUGAUCAGCACUGGAGUUUUGACCUGCUCCAUUUCUGACCUGGAUGGUCCUGGUUAGAUGAUCCUGAAUCAUCCGUGGAAGAGAGAAGGGGAUCUCUCAGCCUGAAUGUAUGACAUAUCCCACAGAAACCCCUGGAUAUGUCUAUGCUGAUUUGCUACAACCACUCACAACCAGGCCUUCUGGCCAUAAAAGGAUAAAAGCCUACUAGUGGUGACCUUGCCCAUCACCAAGGACUAAGAGCCAG